GGGAAGUAGAGAUCACCAUCACCUAUGAUAACUGUGCAGGGGAAAAUCUAACCUGAGACCGCAUGGCACAAACCAAGAUGGCUGCCGCGCCUUCUACAAGCCACAACAUCGGAGCAAUGGCUGGGCGCUGUCUGGAAACCGACGCUGAUAAGUACACAGCGUACUGAAGGCGGCCAGCAGGCAACGGAUAACCCUAAAAGGUCUG